CCUACUUCCAUGAAGUAAAUGAACAUCGCUUCAUCUAUAUUAUUUUGAAUCAAAUUAACUAAGAUUUGGCUUCUUUAAAGGAAGUUUUUCUCUUCAUGGCUCUUUUUGUUGCAAUUUCAGUUAAUCUGUGUUGGGGUCCUAAGGUGAUGGCUUUAAGAGACUUACCAAUUGAUGUUUCAGAGAUGAAAGGAAAAUUACUUCUUCCACUUGUUAACGAUGUAACUUGUUAUAGAAGAUGCAAUUCACAUAGCGAUUGCAGUGAUGGUUCGGUGUGUAGAACUUGUUCUCACCAUGUAAAUUGGGAUAUAUUUGGACAUUUGGAAUAUUGGGAUUGUUCAGUAUGGUGAAGUUCAAGAUUGUUGCACAUCUUAACAAGUUCACUGUUACUGAUGAACGUUAUUUUGAAACUGUACUUUGCACAAGCUAACUAAUGUUUGUGUAAGAAAAAUAAAUAUGUAACCUUAUUAGUUUUUCAGAUACUGAGAAACUGUUCUCUUUAA